UAUAACAGGUCUGUGAUGCCCUUAGACGUUCUGGGCCGCACGCGCGCUACACUGACUCGGUCAACGAGAGCCUUUGUUUAGCAACAUGGGAGAUCUUUGAAAUCGGGUCGUGCUGGGGAUAGAGCCUUGCAAUUAUUGCUCUUGAACGAGGAAUUCCUAGUAAGCGCAAGUCAUCAGCUUGCGUUGAUUACGUCCCUGCCCUUUGUACACACCGCCCGUCGCUACUACCGAUUGAAUGGCUUAGUGAGGGUUUUGGAGAGCUUUUGAAAAAGGGCAACCUUAUUCAUAUGCUCAAAGAUAGACAAACUUGGUCAUUUAGAGGAAGUAAAAGUCGUAACAAGGUUUCCGUAGGUGAACCUGCG
rnacentral:rRNA from 1 species